GACGAACGCUGGCGGCGUGCUUAACACAUGCAAGUCGAACGGAAAGGCCCUGCUUUUGUGGGGUGCUCGAGUGGCGAACGGGUGAGUAACACGUGAGUAACCUGCCCUUGACUUUGGGAUAACUUCAGGAAACUGGGGCUAAUACCGGAUAGGAGCUCCUGCUGCAUGGUGGGGGUUGGAAAGUUUCGGCGGUUGGGGAUUGACUCGCGGCUUAUCAGCUUGUUGGUGGGGUAGUGGCUUACCAAGGCUUUGACGGGUAGCCGGCCUGAGAGGGUGACCGGCCACAUUGGGACUGGGAUACGGCCCAGCCUCCUCCGGGAGGCAGCGGUGGGGAAUAUUGCAAAAUGGGCGGAAGCCUGAUGAAGCACCGCCGCGUGCGGGAUGACGGCCUUCGGGUUGUAAACCGCUUUCGCCUGUGACGAAGCGUGAGUGACGGUAAUGGGUAAAGAAGCACCGGCUAACUACGUG
rnacentral:rRNA from 1 species